rnacentral:lncRNA from 1 species
GGGGGCAACUAUUGGGGUAAUUCAACUGACUCUCUGAUUUCGACUUUCAAUCGGUCAGAUAAGCAUGAACUGCCGACUAUCAAUCAGUUAGCCGACCAACAGUCGGCUAUCCUUAACCAUACUCUAGCUAUGACGACUCGACUGAUUUCAGAUCGAUGACAAUCGAUAUAUCAGAGUUGUCGAUCGAUGGUCAUUCGGAUCUCCACAAUUACUGAC